rnacentral:rRNA from 1 species
UGGGAUGCGAAUCUCGAAAGCCUGUCUCAGUUCGGAUUGGAGGCUGAAACCCGCCUCCAUGAAGUUGGAUUCGCUAGUAAUCGCGCAUCAGCCAUGGCGCGGUGAAUACGUUCCCGGGCCUUGUACACACCGCCCGUCAAGCCAUGGGAGCCGGGGGUGCCUGAAGUUCGUGACCGCAAGGAGCGACCUAGGGCAAAACUGGUGACUGGGGCUAAGUCGUAACAAGGUAUC